UACGGGGGGGGCAAGCGUUGUUCGGAAUUACUGGGCGUAAAGGGCUGGUAGGCGGCCAAAUAAGUCGGAUGUGAAAUCCCCAGGCUUAACCUGGGAACUGCAUCCGAUACUGGUCGGCUUGAAUCCGGGAGAGGGAUGCAGAAUUCCAGGUGCAGCGGUGAAAUGCGUAGAUAUCUGGAGGAAUACCGGUGGCGAAGGCGGCAUCCUGGACCGGCAUUGACGCUGAACAGCGAAAGCUAGGGGAGCAAACGGG
rnacentral:rRNA from 1 species